rnacentral:rRNA from 1 species
UACGGAGGGUGCAAGCGUUAAUCGGAAUUACUGGGCGUAAAGCGUGCGCAGGCGGUUCGCUAAGACAGAUGUGAAAUCCCCGGGCUUAACCUGGGAACUGCAUUUGUGACUGGCGGGCUAGAGUAUGGCAGAGGGGGGUAGAAUUCCACGUGUAGCAGUGAAAUGCGUAGAGAUGUGGAGGAAUACCGAUGGCGAAGGCAGCCCCCUGGGCCAAUACUGACGCUCAUGCACGAAAGCGUGGGGAGCAAACAGG